AGCCGGGGCUGCAGGGCUCAGUCCGGCGGGGCUCCCCGCGCUCCAGGCGGCUGCCGGACACAGCCCCAUCCCGGGGCUGCGUGUCACCGCCAUGCGAGUGCCGGGCGCAGGCCCUUCCCCUGUCUAGAGCUGACAGAAACAUGGAACAUAGAGAGCUCUUGGUCAAAUGGAGAACUUGUAUGAGGAAAGUCUGAAGCUGGAAACAUCUCACAGAAGACGCCCUGAUUCUUGUGUGGUUUGCAAUAACCAAUGGAACGAGUGUGGAACAUGGACCUGCAGCUCCAGCCUGGUUGGGUGCACAGGCAUGUGCUCUAUGUGGCUCUGCUUUCUUGUUGCUUGUGGAUGUGUUUGGAAAACACCCUGUGAAUGCACAUGGAGGACCCAAAGAUGCCACCAGAUAAUCAUAUUUCUAAUUGAUAUUUAAGUCACAUGUUAUGUAUGCUGUAAGUCAGUGUUCUGUAAUGUAAAACAAAAAUCAAAAAGAUCUGGAUCUUUUAAAGUACUUGUUAACAUGCUUUGCCAUGCAUCAUUAGGACAGUAUUUCUUUCUAAAAGGUAUCUAAAAAAUGAUCAGUAAAAAUAAUCUGUAAUCAAGACAACACAUUUCUAUCAGUGGAAGAAUAAAGCAAAUAAAAUUAUAGGAGAAGGAAGUAAA
rnacentral:lncRNA from 1 species